rnacentral:rRNA from 1 species
UACCCUCGGGAGGGGGAUAACCCCGGGAAACUGGGGCUAAUCCCCCAUAGGCCUGAUGUACUGGAAGGUCCUCAGGCCGAAAGGGGCUCUGCCCGCCCGAGGAUGGGCCGGCGGCCGAUUAGGUAGUUGGUGGGGUAACGGCCCACCAAGCUGAAGAUCGGUACGGGCCAUGAGAGUGGGAGCCCGGAGAUGGACACUGAGACACGGGUCCAGGCCCUACGGGGCGCAGCAGGCGCGAAACCUCCGCAAUGCUCGAAAGAGCGACGGGGGGACCCCCAGUGCCGUGGCAACGCCACGGCUUUUCCGGAGUGUAAAAAGCUCCGGGAAUAAGGGCUGGGCAAGGCCGGUGGCAGCCGCCGCGGUAAUACCGGCGGCCCGAGUGGUGGCCGCUAUUAUUGGGCCUAAAGCGUCCGUAGCCGGGCCUGUAAGUCCCUGGCGAAAUCCCACGGCUCAACCGUGGGGCUUGCUGGGGAUACUGCAGGCCUUGGGACCGGGAGAGGCCGGGGGUACUCCUGGGGUAGGGGUGAAAUCCUAUAAUCCCAGGAGGACCGCCAGUGGCGAAGGCGCCCGGCUGGAACGGGUCCGACGGUGAGGGACGAAGGCCAGGGGAGCGAACCGGAUUAGAUACCCGGGUAGUCCUGGCUGUAAAGGAUGCGGGCUAGGUGUCGGGUGAGCUCCGAGCUCGC